AGAGUUUGAUCAUGGCUCAGAGUGAACGCUGGCGGUAGGCCUAACACAUGCAAGUCGAACGGCAGCACAGUAAGAGCUUGCUCUUAUGGGUGGCGAGUGGCGGACGGGUGAGGAAUACAUCGGAAUCUACCUUUUGGUGGGGGAUAACGUAGGGAAACUUACGCUAAUACCGCAUACGCCCUUCGGGGGAAAGCCGGGGACCUUCGGGCCUGGCGCUGAUAGAUGAGCCGAUGUCGGAUUAGCUAGUUGGUGAGGUAAUGGCUCACCAACGCGACGAUCCGUAGCUGGUCUGAGAGGAUGAUCAGCCACACUGGAACUGAGACACGGUCCAGACUCCUACGGGAGGCAGCAGUGGGGAAUAUUGGACAAUGGGCGCAAGCCUGAUCCAGCCAUACCGUGUGGGUGAAGAAGGCCUUCGGGUUGUAAAGCCCUUUUGUUGGGAAAGAAAAGCAUUCGGUUAAUACCCGGGUGUUCUGACGGUACCCAAAGAAUAAGCACCGGCUAACUUCGUGCCAGCAGCCGCGGUAAUACGAAGGGUGCAAGCGUUACUCGGAAUUACUGGGCGUAAAGCGUGCGUAGGUGGUGGUUUAAGUCCGUUGUGAAAGCCCUGGGCUCAACCUGGGAAUUGCAGUGGAUACUGGAUCACUAGAGUGUGGUAGAGGAUAGUGGAAUUUCCGGUGUAGCAGUGAAAUGCGUAGAGAUCGGAAGGAACAUCUGUGGCGAAGGCGACUAUCUGGGCCAACACUGACACUGAGGCACGAAAGCGUGGGGAGCAAACAGGAUUAGAUACCCUGGUAGUCCACGCCCUAAACGAUGCGAACUGGAUGUUGGGUUCAACUUGGAACCCAGUAUCGAAGCUAACGCGUUAAGUUCGCCGCCUGGGGAGUACGGUCGCAAGACUGAAACUCAAAGGAAUUGACGG
rnacentral:rRNA from 1 species